rnacentral:lncRNA from 1 species
UUUUUUUUGUGCAGAAAAAUAUUGGUUAUGAGAAAUGGUCGAGGGCUUACAUGACAAACAACAGAUUUUCUACAAUGACUUCAAACAUAGUUGAAUCGGUAAAUUCGGUAACAAAAGCAAUGAAAGGUUGUCCAAUAGAGCCUUUAUUGGAAUCGUUAAGAUAUUUGUUACAAGAAUGGUUUGUGAAACAUAUAAAUGAUGCACGAGCAACCUUCACAAUACUCGCCACCAACCAAGAGAAAAAACUGAGAGAAAAUUCUGUGGAGUCAAAGAAAAUGAAGGUAAAAAGUUAUAAACUUGCUGUUUUGUUAUUGCACAUCAAGAUUUCUAUUGUAACAUGAUUUGUAUCCUCUAUUCAUAUUGAAUUUUCACUUUAAAUCUUCCUUUCAUAUAAAAAAGUGACAAAUUUAUUGAUAGAUUAUUUUGUUAUAUUAUGCACAUAGGUAUCAACUUCAAGUUCAAUAUUGUACCAAGUUAAUGAUGGUUGUGCCUCAUAUUUGGUGAACAUGGAAGAAAGAACAUGCACAUGCAACUAUUUCGAAGUGGACAAGAUUCCAUGUGCACAUGCACUUGCGGUUAUUGCAAAGAUAAAGGAUGAUUCAUAUUCAUAUUGUUCCGUAUUUUAUACAACAAAUAUGUAUAUUCAAACAUAUAGUGCAUCAAUUUUUCCACUAGGAGAUCAUAAUGAGUGGAAUGUACCAGAUGAGGUAAGAGCAAGAAUAAUCUUGGCUCCUAACCCAAAAAGAAAAUCUGGACGACCUAAAGAAAAAAGAAUACCAUCAAAAGGAGAGAAAACUCGAAGCGCAAAAUGUGGAAGAUGUGGGAAUUAUGGUCACAAUCGUAGAUCAUGUCAAAAUCCGCCAAAAGUGAAAAAGAAAC